rnacentral:rRNA from 1 species
CAGUAGCCGCGGGAAUACGGAAGGUCCGGAUGUUAUCCGGAUUUAUUGGGUUUAAAGGGAGCGUAGGCCGCAGGUUAAGUGUGUUGUGAAAAGCAGUCGCCCAACGUCUGCCUUGCAGCGCAAACUGUCCUGCUUGAGUGCGCACAACGCAGGCGGAAUUCGUCGUGUAGCGGUGAAAUGCUUAGAUAUGACGAAGAACUCCGAUUGCGAAGGCAGCUUGCGGGAGCGCAACUGACGCUGAAGCUCGAAAGUGCGGGUAUCGAACAGGAUUAGAUACCCCAGUAGUCCCUGUCUCUUAUAC